rnacentral:rRNA from 1 species
UGGGGAAUUUUGGACAAUGGGCGAAAGCCUGAUCCAGCAAUGCCGCGUGUGUGAAGAAGGCCUUCGGGUUGUAAAGCACUUUUGUCCGGAAAGAAAUCCUUGGCUCUAAUACAGUCGGGGGAUGACGGUACCGGAAGAAUAAGCACCGGCUAACUACGUGCCAGCAGCCGCGGUAAUACGUAGGGUGCAAGCGUUAAUCGGAAUUACUGGGCGUAAAGCGUGCGCAGGCGGUUUGCUAAGACCGAUGUGAAAUCCCCGGGCUCAACCUGGGAACUGCAUUGGUGACUGGCAGGCUAGAGUAUGGCAGAGGGGGGUAGAAUUCCACGUGUAGCAGUGAAAUGCGUAGAGAUGUGGAGGAAUACCGAUGGCGAAGGCAGCCCCCUGGGCCAAUACUGACGCUCAUGCACGAAAAGCGUGGGGGAGCAAAACAGGAUUAGAUACCCUGGUAGUCCACGCCCUAAAACGAUGUCAACUAGUUGUUGGGGAUUCAUUUCCUUAGUAACGUAGCUAACGCGUGAAGUUGACCGCCUGGGGGAGUACGGUCGCAAGAUUAAAACUCAAAGGAAUUGACGGGGUCAUAGCUGUUUCCU